CAUUAUUCAUUUCGUUUUUCCUUUCCUGCCUCUUCUUCUUCUUCGUUUCUCAAUUGAAGUAUAAUCAAUAACAUCACUCACUACUUUCAAUUCAUUAAUUUUACAAUUUUAAAGUGAAGAGAUGAGGAGAUAAAAUCAACCCAUGAAGAUUGAAUCUCUAUCUUCAUCAAAGAAAAAAAAAAAAAAAAACCCAAUCCCAGAAACCCGUUAGCAGACAUUAAUUCAUCAUCUUCUUCAUCUUCUACUUCUGCUAUUACGGUUUCAAUUGAAGUUUCAUCAAGAUGGUGAUGACAGUAACGGUAUAGGUAUAAUUCAAGUGGUGAUCCAAUGGGUUGAGGACGGAAUUUUCUAUUGAAGAAUUGCAUGGAAGUUUCUGCUGAGUUGAGCAAGGAGAUGGUAAAGAAUCCGAGGGUUAUGUCAGGAACAAGAACCCGACAUGGUGGUGUUUGGAAGAAGGGAUGAUUGAUGCACAAAGAUGAAGAAGAAAUUGGGGUUAAGGUUGGACUGAGAUGUAUUUGAAGAUGGAGGAAACUGAUGUAAUUGGAGUGUGUAAAAUUGUUUCUGAUACUCAGUAGAUGUAUCAUGUAUCCUAGGAAUUUAGUUUUGAUCUUAAUUUUGUUAAUUUUGUUACUUUUUUUUUUGGA